rnacentral:rRNA from 1 species
CAACUUUCACCAACGGAUUUCUGGGUUCUUGCAUGGAGGAAGAAGGCAGGGAAAUGCGAUAAGUAAUGUGAAUUGCGGAAUCCAGUGAAUCAUGGAAUCUUUGAACGCACCUUGCGCCCUUUGGUUAUUCCGAGGGGCAUGCCUGUUGGAGAGUC